rnacentral:ncRNA from 1 species
AUAGAUGCGAAGAAGAGAAAAGUAAAUUUGAUAAGUUUUAUAAGCGAAUUGGGAAAUGGUGUGAGCCCAAGUAAAAUAUCAAGCUGAAAGACAUCUCGGAGCAUAUUAUCUGAAAUUAUUAGGAUAAUACGGUUUCUACCGUUAAAAUGAUAAAGAGAGUCAAUUUAUUUGAUUUUAAAUAAAGGAUGGCACCGUGAAAAGCCUUCACUCCUUACUGGAGUGGAGGCUUUUUUUAUUUUAAAUAAAUUGAUUAAUCAGGGUGGUACCGCGUUUAAAAUCGUCCCUUUU